ACAUGAGAGUAGCCUUGGUACUUACAGGUUUUCUGGCAGUUGAACAAGGAGCAGGCAUCUGAUCUUUCUGCUGCUGUUCUCAAUGGAGGUUUAUUUAUGUUAUAAAACUACUUUUAUUUCCCAAGUAGUUCAUGCAAAUUUUCAAUUCUAGUUGCUAUCUUGAUAGCCUUACACUACUUGGACCACAUCCUAACAGGCAGUGAAGUGUACAAGCCAGAAAAGCGCUUUUACUUUUCUUGCUUACUAUCUGUGGAAACCACGGAAGGGGAUGUUGAGACCACAGUGCAGCCUAGAAAGGGUAACUAGGUGCCUCUUUUGGCUCAUUCUCUGCCUCCCCUUAGCAGUGCAUAUAGAAGAUUGAAGGAGCAGCUACUUCAUCUCAUUUACUUACUUGCAGUCUCCCUUUGGACAGCAACAAGAAUGAGGAUUCCACCUAGUGCAUAAAGUAUUUCCUGCUGUACAGCUCAGAGAGGGUAAGAGGAAACAGCACAUAGCAACAUUCAGUCUGUCUCUCAAGCAAGGAGGGUGGGUUUAGGAGCAGUGGUGUUGCUAGGAUCUCCCAGCACUGGGCCAGGACGUUGCAGCAUGGAAAGCCCCAAAUUCAGCUACCACAUGGUUUUCCUUUAAAAUGUCUUUGUUAAAGAGUUUAUUUUCUGUGGGGAGUCAGAUCGGUAGGGGGUUGAGAGAGCACAUGCAGGAAAAAAGAGAACCAGGAAGGAGAAAUGGAACCAGAGAGGCAGGGAAAAAAAACAAUGUGCAGAGCAUACAGCAUCUUGACCCAAGGCCCCUCUGACCAUGAAAAUGCCAUUGCUUAACAGGAAAAA